rnacentral:rRNA from 1 species
GAGCAAACAGGAUUAGAUANNNNNNUAGUCCACGNNNUNAACGAUGCUCACUAGGUGUUGGGGAAGCGAUUCCUUGGUACCGUAGCUAACGCGUGAAGUGAGCCGCCUGGGGAGUACGGCCGCAAGGUUAAAACUCAAAGGAAUUGACGGGGACCCGCACAAGCGGUGGAUGAUGUGGAUUAAUUCGAUGCAACGCGAACAACCUUACCUACCCUUGACAUGUCCGGAAGUCUGCUGAAAGGUGGAUGUGCUCGAAAGAGAACCGGAACACAGGUGCUGCAUGGCUGUCGUCAGCUCGUGUCGUGAGAUGUUGGGUUAAGUCCCGCAACGAGCGCAACCCUUGUCCCUAGUUGCUACGCAAGGGCACUCUAGGGAGACUGCCGGUGACAAACCGGAGGAAGGUGGGGAUGACGUCAAGUCCUCAUGGCCCUUAUGGGUAGGGCUUCACACGUCAUACAAUGGUCGGUACAGAGGGUCGCCAACCCGCGAGGGGGAGCCAAUCCCACAAAGCCGAUCGUAGUCCGGAUUGCAGUCUGCAACUCGACUGCAUGAAGUCGGAAUCGCUAGUAAUCGUGGAUCAGCAUGUCACGGUGAAUACGUUCCCGGGUCUUGUACACACCGCCCGUCACACCAUGGGAGCGGGAUGUACCAGAAGUAGGUAGGCUAACCGCAAGGGGGCCGCUUACCACGGUGCGUUUCGUGACUGGGGUGAAGUCGUAACAAGGUAGCCGAAUCGANNUCCCGCGGCC